UCAAGCGUGCUUCCCGUCGACG
rnacentral:misc_RNA from 1 species